AGAGAAUAGAUACCCAGGUAGUCCACGCCGUAAACGAUGAGUACUAGGUGUAGGAGGGUCCAACCUUCUGUGCCGCAGUUAAACACAAUAAGUACUCCGCCUGGGAAGUACGAUCGCAAGAUUAAAACUCAAAGGAAUUGACGGGGGCCCGCACAAGCAGCGGAGCAUGUGGUUUAAUUCGAAGCAACGCGAAGAACCUUACCUGGACUUGACAUCCCCUGAAUAUCCUAGAGAUAGGAGAAGCCCUUCGGGGUCAGGGAGACAGGUGGUGCAUGGUUGUCGUCAGCUCGUGUCGUGAGAUG
rnacentral:rRNA from 1 species